rnacentral:rRNA from 1 species
UACAGAGGGUGCGAGCGUUAAUCGGAAUUACUGGGCGUAAAGCGCGCGUAGGCGGCUUUGCAAGUCGGGUGUGAAAUCCCCAGGCUUAACCUGGGAACUGCAUUCGAGACUGCAUUGCUAGAGUAUGGGAGAGGGCAGUGGAAUUUCCGGUGAUAGCGGUGAAAUGCGUAGAUAUCGGAAGGAACAUCAGUGGCGAAAGCGACUGCCUGGACCAAUACUGACGCUCAUGUGCGAAAAGCGUGGGGAGCAAACAGG